AGGUGUGAAGGUGGCAGAUUUGGAAGUCUAUGCAUCCAGAGGAAUUAAAAAUACAGUCUAUCUGUUCCAGGAAAGACUUUGCUCAUUUCCUUCUGAUACUGAAGAACAUUUUAUUGUGUGGAUUUGCCACGGUUUAUUUAUCCCUUCAUCUCCUUAUGGUUAUCUUGGUUUCUUCCAAGUUUUGAAGAUUAGGAAUAAAGCUGCUACAAAUAUCCAUGUGCAAGUUUUUGUUUGGAUAUAAGUUUUUAAAUCAUUUGAACAAAUGACAAGGGUGAUUGCUGGAUUGUAUGUUAAAAGUGUGCUCAGUCUUGUAAGAUAGUUCUUUUUUCAAAAAAUAGUUUCCAUUUCUCUACCCAUAAUUUCUGUUUUUUUCCCCCUUUGUUCAAGAGUACUCAUCUUUACUUUAUGAAGUAUAGAAAUACUAGCUGCUUUAAAAUCUUGGUCUGAAAACAGAAUGAAAUUUUGUUGUUUGUCAUUUGCAGGUAAAUGGAUGGAACUGGAGAACAUCAUCUUAAGUGAAGUUAGCCAGGUUCAGAAGGCCAAAAGCUGCAUGUUUUCUCUCAUAUGUGGAAUAUAGACCUAAUACAAAUACAGCAAUAUUAUGAAAAAUAGGUCAUGUUAAAGAGAGUGAGGGUAAAAGAAGGAAGUUAAAAAGAAAGAAGAGAUUUGCUUGGAAUGUGAAUGGUCUGCAGCAGCACUGUUGUAGUUCCAUGGUUUGCCUGCCCUUGGUUGAAGAAAUUUCCAUAACUAGGAUACUGUGAACAGAGUCAAAAUAAACAUGGGUAUGUAGAUAUCUCUACACUAAGCUGGCUUUGAUUACUUUGGGCAUAUAUCCAGAAGUGGUAUGGCUGGAUCUUAUAGGAAUUCUGUUUUUAAUUUUUUUGAGGACUCUUCAUGCUGAUUUCCAUAGUGGCUGGACUGCUUCACACUCCCACCAGCAGUGUGGAAAACUAUACAGCAUGGAAGAAAAAACUGUAGAAGACACUAGGAAGUGGAAAGAUCUGCCAUGUUCUUGCAUUGGCAGAAUUAAUAUUGUUAAAAUGGCCAUCCUUUCAAGAGCAAUAUACAAAUUCAAUGCACUCCUCAUCAAAAUUCC
rnacentral:lncRNA from 1 species